UAAUCAAGUGUUUUUAUGGCACUUUCAAAAAUCCAUAUCCACCUUGUGUGCAAUGUCAUCUCUCUGGGGGCUGCCGGCCUGUCAAAAGCCGUGUGGUCACCUUUGGGAUUUAUAUCUACUCAGAACUUUAGUGAUUUUGUCUGAAACAUAUUAUGAAUACUUAAUUCAAAAUA
rnacentral:misc_RNA from 1 species